AGAGUUUGAUCCUGGCUCAGGACUAACGCUGGCGGCGUGCCUAACACAUGCAAGUCGAGCGGGGUAGCAAUACCCAGCGGCAGACGGGUGAGUAACACGUAGUCAACCUUCCCGAUAGUGGGGGAUAACUAGCCGAAAGGUUAGCUAAUACCGCAUACGAUCUCUGAAUGGCAUCGUUUAGAGAUGAAAGGAGCAAUCCGCUUUCGGACGGGACUGCGUCCCAUUAGCUAGAUGGUGGGGUAAUGGCCUACCAUGGCGACGAUGGGUAGCUGGUUUGAGAGAGCGACCAGCCACACUGGGACUGAGAAACGGCCCAGACUCCUACGGGAGGCAGCAGUGAGGAAUUUUCCGCAAUGGGCGAAAGCCUGACGGAGCGACGCCGCGUGUGGGAAGAAGGCCUUCGGGUCGUAAACCACUGUCGAAGGGGAAGAUAAUGACGGUACCCUUGGGGGAAGCCCCGGCUAACUACGUGCCAGCCGCCGCGGUAAUAC
rnacentral:rRNA from 1 species